rnacentral:rRNA from 1 species
GACGAACGCGGCGGCGUGCCUAAUACAUGCAAGUCGAACGCACGAAGUUGAAGAGCUUGCUCUUUAACCAAGUGAGUGGCGGACGGGUGAGUAACACGUGGGUAACCUGCCCAUUAGAGGGGGAUAACAUUCGGAAACGGAUGCUAAUACCGCAUAGUUUCAGGGAUCGCAUGAUUCUUGAAGGAAAGGUGGCUCCGGCUACCACUAAUGGAUGGACCCGCGGCGUAUUAGCUAGUUGGUGAGGUAAUGGCUCACCAAGGCAAUGAUACGUAGCCGACCUGAGAGGGUGAUCGGCCACACUGGGACUGAGACACGGCCCAGACUCCUACGGGAGGCAGCAGUAGGGAAUCUUCCGCAAUGGACGAAAGUCUGACGGAGCAACGCCGCGUGAGUGAAGAAGGUUUUCGGAUCGUAAAACCCUGUUGUUAAAGAAGAACAAGGAUGAGAGUAACUGCUCAUCCCCUGACGGUAUUUAACCAGAAAGCCACGGCUAACUACGUGCCAGCAGCCGCGGUAAUACGUAGGUGGCAAGCGUUGUCCGGAUUUAUUGGGCGUAAAGCGAGCGCAGGCGGUUCUUUAAGUCUGAUGUGAAAGCCCCCGGCUCAACCGGGGAGGGUCAUUGGAAACUGGAGAACUUGAGUGCAGAAGAGGAGAGUGGAAUUCCACGUGUAGCGGUGAAAUGCGUAGAUAUGUGGAGGAACACCAGUGGCGAAGGCGACUCUCUGGUCUGUAACUGACGCUGAGGCUCGAAAGCGUGGGGAGCAAACAGG